GGGGCCGUAGUUCAACAGGAGAACCCUGGUCUUGCAAACCAGUGAUGAGGGUGCGACUCCCUUCGGUUUCC
rnacentral:tRNA from 1 species